rnacentral:rRNA from 1 species
GAUGAACGCUGGCGGCGUGCCUAAUACAUGCAAGUCGAACGAGGUGCUUUUGUAGCAAUACGAGAGUAUCCUAGUGGCGAACGGGUGAGUAACGCGUUGGUGACCUGCCCCAAAGUGCGGGAUAACAGUCCGAAAGGAUUGCUAAUACCGCAUGUGGUUAUCGGGUUUAGAAACCGAUAACUAAAGAAGCAAUUCGCUUUGGGAGGGACCUGCGUCCCAUCAGCUAGUUGGUGAGGUAACGGCUCACCAAGGCGACGACGGGUAGGGGACCUGAGAGGGUGACCCCCCACAAUGGAACUGUAACACGGUCCAUACACCUACGGGUGGCAGCAGUAGGGAAUAUUGCACAAUGGGCGAAAGCCUGAUGCAGCAACGCCGCGUGUGCGAUGAAGGCCUUCGGGUCGUAAAGCACUUUUCUGCGAGAUGAGAAAGGACAGUAUCGUAGGAAUAAGUCUCGGCUAACUACGUGCCAGCCGCCGCCAUAACAC